AACUGAGCUCUGCUGCUGUGCAAGCACAGCCCGGCCAGGUUAUGUGCUCUGUCUGCCUUUAACCACCUGCCCUGAAUCUCAGCUGGUGCACUCAGUGACUGCUAUCGCUGGCUGUGAAAGAACUCCUGUUCUGGGCUCAGUAUAUAGAAGCAAACCCCAACAGCACACAGAGGCAACAUUCCUGUAUGACACCCCCAUCAUCAAGCCCAGAUGCUCUGGUGGAGUGCAGAUGUCCCACAGAGGUCCAAUCUAAUGCACUGAAGUGACAGAGAAUCUGCUGCAUCCUCAGCAAUGAUAAAUAGCAGAUACCCGAGCUGCCUGGCAGAGGAGCAGACAACUCUCCUGGGACUGACUGCAUUGUCAAUGUUCCUUGACGGGUCAUUGGGGUUUGGGUUCUGGUUAACAUCCCGCCCUCUUCAAGCAUCUCCUCUGGCUGCAGAGCCACUCCCUGGGCCUUCUCAGUUACCGCUGUCAUCUCUGGGGUCUUUAAUUGUGCCUGAUGGGGUAUCAGCUUCAAUGCUAAUGUGCAUGGGUAAGAGGAUGAGGAAAGCUACUUUGCGAGGAUUCUCCUUUUGCUGCUCUGCAAUGAAACAGAGCAGAAAGAAGCAAUCUGAGUCCGGCCAAGGUUUUCCUUAAAUACCAACCUUGCUAUGUGGG